rnacentral:rRNA from 1 species
AUUGAACGCUGGCGGCAGGCCUAACACAUGCAAGUCGAACGAGUGGCGGACGGGUGAGUAAUGUCUGGGAAACUGCCUGAUGGAGGGGGAUAACUACUGGACACGGUCGCUAAUCCCGCAUCCCCUGAGAUGUGCCCAGAGGGGAUUAGCUAGUUGGUGGGGUAACGGCUCACCAAGGCGACGAUCCCUAGCUGGUCUGAGAGGAUGACCAGCAACACUGGAACUGAGACACGGUCCAGACUCCUACGGGAGGCAGCAGUGGGGAAUAUUGCACAAUGGGCGAAAGCCUGAUGCAGCCAUGCCGCGUGUAUGAAGAAGGCCUUCGGGUUGUAAAGUACUUUCAGCGGGGAGGCGUUACCCGCAGAAGAAGCACCGGCUAACUCCGUGCCAGCAGCCGCGGUAAUUC